CACGCCGUAAACGAUGAGUGCUAAGUGUUAGGGGGUUUCCGCCCCUUAGUGCUGCAGCUAACGCAUUAAGCACUCCGCCUGGGGAGUACGGUCGCAAGACUGAAACUCAAAGGAAUUGAC
rnacentral:rRNA from 1 species